AUUGAACGCUGGCGGCAGGCUUAACACAUGCAAGUCGAGCGAGCGGCGGACGGGUGAGUAAUGUCUGGGAAACUGCCUGAUGGAGGGGGAUAACUACUGGAAACGGUAGCUAAUACCGCAUACCAUCAGAUGUGCCCAGAUGGGAUUAGCUAGUAGGGGGGGUAAUGGCUCACCUAGGCGACGAUCCCUAGCUGGUCUGAGAGGAUGACCAGCAACAGUGGAACUGAGACACGGUAGAGACUCAUACGGGAGGGAGCAGGGGGGAAUAGUGCACAAGGGGCGCAAGCCUGAUGCAGCCAGGCCGCGUGUGUGAAGAAGGCCUGCGGGUUGUAGCACUUUCAGCGAGGAGGCGUUACUCGCAGAAGAAGCACCGGCUAACUCCGUGCCAGCAGCCGCGGUAAUAC
rnacentral:rRNA from 1 species